rnacentral:lncRNA from 1 species
CACCCUGUGUCUCACUGUGCCCAGCGUACCGGACGCCCUCCCCUCCUCCAGCACCCCGGUCCCUUCCGCCUCGGGGCCUUUCCUCAGCUCCUCUGUCAGCUUCCGUCUCAGCAUGGGGGAGACUCCCUGAUGACUCCCCCUAAAGUGGCCACCACUCUCUGGACCGGCUGUGUGGCAUCCCUACUGCCCUAAAGGACCACUGUCAGCUGUUCUUAGACAUCUGCGUUCAGGGAGGAGGUACGGCUUUCCUGAGGCCAGCCCAGCCAGUGGCAGGACAAACUCCAGCCCGGCCCAGUGGCUUCAGACUGGCUCGCUCCCCGCUGGAGCUCCAGCCAGCCUCUACGACUGCCCACCGGGUGAGGGUGGGAGCACGGCUGCCUUCCUGGGCCCGGCCCCUCUGUUGGGUGCUGGGCGCUGCGAGAGCAGGUGAGGCCUGCGUCCCUUGCGGGGCAGGUGGCGUGGACGGUGUGGGUGGUGUGGCCAGCUGUGGGAGGGACAGCUGGGGAGGCCGUGUGGCCCAGGUGAGGGUCCUGUCUGGUGACUGUGUCUGUUUCCUGGCUGCUGCCUCCCCCUCCCCUCAGCCAGCGUGUGCUGUGAAUGCCUGCACUCCUGCGCGCAGGAAGCAGCUUCAUGAACUCAGAUGUGAGGGUGGUGGCCUUAGGGAGGAGAGGCAGUGGGAUUGAGCGGUAGCUUAAGCAGGACUGUGCGUUUGUACUCUGUGAUUUUGUGUUAGUUGAUGUUUUUGUGAUUAUGCAUUCAUGUAAAGACCAAACCAGACAAAAAGCUGCCCUGGGACCUGGCUUCAUUGACCCCUCAGGAGGUCAGCACAACUUUGUUUGCCCUUCUCCAGAAAUGCUCUUAGGUGGGAGGAGGCCUGCAGGGAUCCAGAGAGUUCCUCUGGGCUCUUCUGCUCCUGUCUUUGCCUCGGAGUCCCUGGCCACUUGUUGCAACAAAUAAAAUUGUGGGGGGCUUCCCUGGUGGUCUAGUGGUUAGUGCUCAGGUGCUUCCACUACAGGGGGUGUCAGUUUGAUUCCUGGUAGGGAACUAAGAUCCAACAUGCCGUGUGGCACAGCCAAAAACAACAAGGAAACAAAACACAAAACGUUGGUCUGCUUCUCCCUGAAGGUCCUUUCUGAAGGAAUUUACAAGGUACAAUAACCGUUUUUAGAGUUUCCAGUUUAAUAUUCAACCUGAAUCUUAGGCCAGCUGAGUGAGGUUUGGCACUGUCCUGCCCCGCUCUUGUUCUGUUUAUAAACAUGUUUAUUGCCCUGACAAGGAGCAGGUUCUAUUCAAGAAAACAGGAUAGGCCUGGGGUCCCUCCAGAGGUUAGUGUGCUCGGAGCCUAGAGUGAAGGAUGAGACUCUAUAGGUAAUUUGCAGCCUGGGGAAACAGGGGCCCCUAACUGCUGUCCUUCCCAGAAUAGAGCAGACAGACUAGCUGCUAUUUGGGGUUCUUUUCUGGGGAAGAAAUUUCCAGCAUUUGCGGCACCUGGUCUCGCUGCAGGCAAGGCUCUUCCAACGGGAUGAGGUAAAUGGAUGUUGUCAACAAAACUUCAUUUCUGUGGGAAAGUCCUGUAAAGACAUAUAUCCAGGGACUUGGACAGACACUCACGGCU